CGCUAGCUACAGGCUUAACACAUGCAAGUCGAGGGGCAGCAUGGUCUUAGCUUGCUAAGGCCGAUGGCGACCGGCGCACGGGUGAGUAACACGUAUCCAACCUGCCGUCUACUCUUGGACAGCCUUCUGAAAGGAAGAUUAAUACAAGAUGGCAUCAUGAGUCCGCAUGUUCACAUGAUUAAAGGUAUUCCGGUAGACGAUGGGGAUGCGUUCCAUUAGAUAGUAGGCGGGGUAACGGCCCACCUAGUCUUCGAUGGAUAGGGGUUCUGAGAGGAAGGUCCCCCACAUUGGAACUGAGACACGGUCCAAACUCCUACGGGAGGCAGCAGUGAGGAAUAUUGGUCAAUGGGCGAGAGCCUGAACCAGCCAAGUAGCGUGAAGGAUGACUGCCCUAUGGGUUGUAAACUUCUUUUAUAAAGGAAUAAAGUCGGGUAUGGAUACCCGUUUGCAUGUACUUUAUGAAUAAGGAUCGGCUAACUCCGUGCCAGCAGCCGCGGUAAUACGGAGGAUCCGAGCGUUAUCCGGAUUUAUUGGGUUUAAAGGGAGCGUAGAUGGAUGUUUAAGUCAGUUGUGAAAGUUUGCGGCUCAACCGUAAAAUUGCAGUUGAUACUGGAUAUCUUGAGUGCAGUUGAGGCAGGCGGAAUUCGUGGUGUAGCGGUGAAAUGCUUAGAUAUCACGAAGAACUCCGAUUGCGAAGGCAGCCUGCUAAGCUGCAACUGACAUUGAGGCUCGAAAGUGUGGGUAUCAAACAGGAUUAGAUACCCUGGUAGUCCACACGGUAAACGAUGAAUACUCGCUGUUUGCGAUAUACUGCAAGCGGCCAAGCGAAAGCGUUAAGUAUUCCACCUGGGGAGUACGCCGGCAACGGUGAAACUCAAAGGAAUUGACGGGGGCCCGCACAAGCGGAGGAACAUGUGGUUUAAUUCGAUGAUACGCGAGGAACCUUACCCGGGCUUAAAUUGCAGAUGAAUUACGGUGAAAGCCGUAAGCCGCAAGGCAUCUGUGAAGGUGCUGCAUGGUUGUCGUCAGCUCGUGCCGUGAGGUGUCGGCUUAAGUGCCAUAACGAGCGCAACCCUUGUUGUCAGUUACUAACAGGUUCCGCUGAGGACUCUGACAAGACUGCCAUCGUAAGAUGUGAGGAAGGUGGGGAUGACGUCAAAUCAGCACGGCCCUUACGUCCGGGGCUACACACGUGUUACAAUGGGGGGUACAGAGGGCCGCUACCACGCGAGUGGAUGCCAAUCCCCAAAACCUCUCUCAGUUCGGACUGGAGUCUGCAACCCGACUCCACGAAGCUGGAUUCGCUAGUAAUCGCGCAUCAGCCACGGCGCGGUGAAUACGUUCCCGGGCCUUGUACACACCGCCCGUCAAGCCAUGGGAGCCGGGGGUACCUGAAGUGCGUAACCGCGAGGAGCGCCCUAGGGUAAAACUGGU
rnacentral:rRNA from 1 species